GAUGAACGCUGGCGGCGUGCCUAAUACAUGCAAGUCGAGCGAAUGGAUUAAGAGCUUGCUCUUAUGAAGUUAGCGGCGGACGGGUGAGUAACACGUGGGUAACCUGCCCAUAAGACUGGGAUAACUCCGGGAAACCGGGGCUAAUACCGGCUAACAUUUUGAACCGCAUGGUUCGAAAUUGAAAGGCGGCUUCGGCUGUCACUUAUGGAUGGACCCGCGUCGCAUUAGCUAGUUGGUGAGGUAACGGCUCACAAAGGCAACGAUGCGUAGCCGACCUGAGAGGGUGAUCGGCUACACUGGGACUGAGACACGGCCCAGACUCCUACGGGAGGCAGCAGUAGGGAAUCUUCCGCAAUGGACGAAAGUCUGACGGAGCAACGCCGCGUGAGUGAUGAAGGCUUUCGGGUCGUAAAACUCUGUUGUUAGGGAAGAACAAGUGCUAGUUGAAUAAGCUGGCACCUUGACGGUACCUAACCAGAAAGCCACGGCUAACUACGUGCCAGCAGCCGCCGUAA
rnacentral:rRNA from 1 species